GACGAACGCUGGCGGCGUGCCUAACACAUGCAAGUCGAACGGAAAGUUAGCAAUAACUUUUAGUGGCGAACGGGUGAGUAACGCGUGGGCAACCUGCCCUUCAGACGGGGACAACAUUCCGAAAGGAGUGCUAAUACCGGAUACGACCUUUGAACCGCAUGGUUUAAAGAAGAAAGGUGGCCUCUAUUUAUAAGCUACCGCUGAAGGAUGGGCCUGCGUCUGAUUAGCUAGUUGGUGGGGUAAAGGCCUACCAAGGCGACGAUCAGUAGCCGGGAGGAGACAACGAACGACCAGACUGGGACGGAGACACGGCCCAGACUCCUACGGGAGGCAGAAGUGGGGAAUCAUCCGCAAUGGGCGAAAGCCUGACGGAGCAACGCCGCGUGAGUGAAGAAGGUCUUCGGGUCGUAAAACUCUGUUAUAAGAGAAGAACAAAUUGUAGAGUAACUGCUACAGUCUUGACGGUAUCUUAUCAGAAAGCCACGGCUAACUACGUGCCAGCAGCCGCAGUAA
rnacentral:rRNA from 1 species